rnacentral:rRNA from 1 species
CACGUAGGGGACGAGCGUUGUUCGGAUUCAUUGGGCGUAAAGCGCGCGUAGGCGGCUCGGAAAGUCGGGCGUGAAAUGCCGGGGCUCAACUCCGGGCCUGCAGCCGAUACGGGCAGACUAGAGUUCGGCAGGGGAGACUGGAAUUCCUGGUGUAGCGGUGAAAUGCGCAGAUAUCAGGAGGAACACCGGUGGCGAAGGCGGGUCUCUGGGCCGAUACUGACGCUGAGGAGCGAAAGCGUGGGGAGCGAACAGG